rnacentral:snRNA from 1 species
GGACUUCGGUCCAUUUGGUCAAUUUGAAACGAUACAGAGAAGAUUAGCAUGGCCCCUGCACUAAGGAUGACACGCUUUAUCAAAGAGACGCAAACCGUUUUU